CCACCCGGGCCCUCUCUCUAUUAACCACUAUGCCAAAAUUUUAUAUCAUAAAAUAUUAUGGAGUCUUUGUCAAAGAGAACUAGGCUUCCGCAAAUAUUGAUGUUAGAAGAGAAAAGAUCAUUUCUCUUUCUGGUUCAGAAUUAGUGUGUGUGAUAAAAAAACAAAAUAGGAGAGGUGUUUUUAUAUACACCACAGAAUUCCAAGAGCUAGCAGCUUUUGUAGAACGUGCUCUUACAAAUUAGAAGUGUUCCAAAAGAGAGAAACUAUAGUAACAUCUAUUUAUAUUCAACAACCAAAAAAAAGAAAAAUCAGACUACAGUCAUUCUCACACAUGGCUACAAUGGAAAUUCCUGCAUUACUAGUCAUAAUUUUCAUAAUUUUCAUCCUGAUAAUUAGAAGGAAGAAAAAAACACUGAAUUAUCCUCCUGGAAGUUUUGGAUGGCCAUUUCUUGGAGAAACACUGGACUUUCUUCGAGCAGCAAACAAAGAAGACAAGCCAGAAAAAUUCGUCAAAGACAGAAUAGAGAAAUACAAGUCUAAAAUAUUCAAGACUUCAUUAAUGGGUGAGAAAAUGGUGGUAUUGGGUAGUGCUAGUGGGAAUAAGUUUUUAUUUAGCAAUGAAAACAAGCAAGUCACAGUUUGGUGGCCUGUAACUAUUAGGAAAAUUCUAGGAAGUUGUUUGAUUACUACCGUUGGAGAUGAAGCCAAGCUCAUGAGGAAGAUGAUUUCUUCUUUUAUUAGCCCUGAUGCGUUUUCAAGACUAUAUAUCAAAGCCAUGGAAGUUGUUGCCCACGACCAUUUUAAGAAUUAUUGGGAAGAUUUUGGACGAAAUUUGGAUUGACGCCGAGCGAGCAUAAGGCGCCAUCGAGGUACAGACGCACCAGGUGAUACGCCGCCCGCGUAGGUUUCCGACUCUGCUUUUUGAAGAGCUCCUUUGACCCGGAGCAUAUCUUUUGUGAUGCCUCCGAAGAAGGCAACAGCUGCCCAGAAAGGCAAGGCCAGGAUUGAGGCAGGAGAGACCAGCCAGGCCCCGAGGGUUACCAGGGCCAGUGUGCACCCUGCACUUGAGGAUGUGCCCCCGUCGUCUGGAUCUGUUACACCCCCCUUGCCGGAGGAUAUCAGAGCAGCAGGAGCUGCUAAUCGGGAGACGGCUCCACCGCAAGCCUCUGAGGUUCCAGUGCCCGAGCCUCCAGCUCCACAGGCAGGGGCGGAGGGUAGGGCCAUGCGAGAUGCGGUUCAAUUAUUGACCACAUUGAUGGCGGAGCAGGUUCGCAGGCAUGGAUUUGGGGGUGGUCGUGCGGAUAGGUACGAGAGCUCCAGGGCUCGUGAGUUUCUGACAUGUAAUCCUCCAGAAUUCUCCGGGGCAAAACCUGAGGAGGAUCCCCAGGAGUUCAUUAGAAAGAUGGAGAGCACACUACGACUGAUUAAGGCUUCGCCGACUGAGUCUGUGGAGUUGGCUUCGUAUCGAUUAUAUGAGGUGGCAGCAAAUUGGUAUGAGUCUUGGCAGCUCUCCAGGGGUGACGAUGCUCCCCAGCGGUAUGGGCAGAAUUUACUAAGGCCUUUCUUGACCAUUUUCUACCACCAGAGCUACGAAGAGCUAGGGUCGAUCGGUUCUUGAACUUGAGACAGAAUGGUAGAAGUGUUCGCGAGUACAACCUAGAGUUCGAUUCAUUGGCUAGGUAUGCACCCACCAUAGUAGCUGAGAUGGCCGACAGGGUGCACAGGUAUGUGAUGGGACUGGACUCUUAUCUGAUUGAUGGUUGUUUAGCUGUGGCUGCUCAGCCAGGGAUGCAUGAAGCCCGGGUACAGGCACACGCCCAGGGCAUGGAGGACCGACGUAGGGAACGUCGGCCUGAUAGGGGUUACGACAGGGGCCAGCCUAAGAGAGACAGAUCGGCUGGGUAUUCAGAGGGAUUUCAGAGCGAGCCUUCCCAGCGGCAGAGAAAUAGGUAUUCGUCCCAGCCAGCCUACAGUACGCCCCCACAGUUCGCAGGACAGAGCUCCAGAGGUCCCGGUCAGUCGAGGCCACCCAUACCCCCCGUGUUCUUAUUGUGGGAGGCCCCACCCGGGGGAGUGUUACCGCGCUACGGGCGCUUGUUAUUUUUGUGGGAGCCCAGACCAUCGAGUCAGAGAGUGCCCACUUAAGGGCAGUUCGGGUUCAGCCCGGCCUGCUGGGUCCGUUGCAGGCUCAUCUUCUCCUUCAGCGGCCAUGCGCCCUGCGGGGCGAGGAGCACCAGCACCAGCACCCGCACCAGCGCCAGCGGGUCGUGGCAGAGGACGUGGUGCAGCUUCUGGUUACAGCGGUCCUUCGAACCGCGUGUUUGCUUUAACCGGCCGGCAGGACCAGUAGCGUCUUCGAGUGCACGCCCAGGUACAGACGCACCAGGUGAUACGCCGCCCGCGUAGGUUUCCGACUCUGCUUGUUGAAGAGCUCCUUUGACCCGGAGCAUAUCUUUUGGUAUAUAUUUUCUGUCUUCUAUGUACUCCGUAUGUGUGUAUAUUCUGGGUACGGCGGGGCCCUGUCCCGCCAUAUGAUUUUGUAUGUCUGUAGAGGCCUGUAGAUAGAUGUGUGGGUUACGGGUUUCGUCUGUAUGUUAGCCUUAUCGGCUUACUUGUAAAUGUCUGUAUGUUCAGGUAUAUAUGUAUAUAUACGUAUGGUUGCGCGCGUGCCGUAUUUGUAUCGGCCUAUUUCCGUACUUCUGUUUUGAAACGAAAAAAAAAAAAAAUUUGUAUGAUUCGAAUUCGAUCAGAUAGGUACGUAUGGGUAUCCAGUUAGGGUACCAGUCGCGGCCCACGGGGUUUGGGUCGUGACACAAUGACUCUUCUUCUCCCUCUUCGGAGUGGGCCGAGGUGGAAGCAGUCAUGGUCUCGGGUUGAGGAUUUGUAGCCCCCCGAACCUUCUUUGUUGGUAUGACCUCAUUGUCGGAGGUCUCAUCUCUCAAGUAAUGAUCUCUCUCUGGUUCGUCUUGGGUUCGGCCUCGGCCCCUACCAUCUUGGGACCCAGCACCCCUUCUGACACUAUGUUUUUGAACCAUAUCUGCAAAUUCAACUUUGUUAAUAACGGAUCUUAGAAAUUAAAGUAAAAAAGAAAACAUAAACAUCUUUUUGGUUUUUUUUUUAAGGUCGUAUAAGUCUUUCACGGACUGUAUAAAAUUAUACGGUCCGUAUAAAGUGAUUACUAUGUGAGAUAGAACCAACAUAGGUUCCAUUUCAAAGUACGAGUCAUUUUCACGGAUCGUAUAAAAUUAUACGGUCUGUAUAACAGCUUAUACUUAUAAAAUAGAACCCCUACCAUCUAACCAAUCUUAUACGACCUAGAAUAUGGUCCGUAUAACUUUAUACAAUUCAUAUUUUAGGUCAUAUACUUACACGACCACAAUUUUUUUUAUGAAUUUACUUCAGUAAGAGCCAAUCAUCAUACAUACAUUCCUUCCAUGGUUUUAAUUCCUACGGGAGUUGGGUUACUCAGACUUUACCUAUUUUUCAAAUUUUGACAGUUCAUUAGUAUCCAAUUUGAGCAAUUUUGGCGGGCAUAACAAUAUUGGAAUCCAAAAUUCAAAUUUGUCAAUUGAAAUUCCCUCCAACCCAUUAGAAUGUUUAUUUCUCAACCCCACGAAUUCACAAUAGCUUAUUAUACUUAUCCCCAUUUAAAAAAAUCAUGAACCAUGGAAAAUUUCACUUGUACCAUAGGUAAAUUAACACCCAACAAUUAAAUUACACCCAUAUGAGCAAAAUUAAAGAGUGAAGCAUUAAAAUACCUAUGUAUUGAUGAUAUUGAGAAGUAUCCUUGAGGAAAAAUUAGUGAAAAACAAAGAAAAAACUAGUGAAUCUUGAACAGAGGGUUUUCGGGUAUGGUGAAUAUGGGUUUUGGUGACAAACUUGGAUGUAUUUAUGGAGAUUUAAGGUGGAAUUAUAGUGGGUUAAUGUAGUGUGGCCGUAUGUAGUAAUGGAGAGGAGUGGGAGUUAAUGAAAGAAGUGGGGAGGAGAAAAGGCGGGCAGGUGCGAUUUUGUUUAAAACCCUCUGUUCGUUUUUUUUAGGCUUUUAUUUUUAUUUUUAGAAGUUAUACGGGCCGUAUAAAAUUACACGGUCCGUGUAACUUGAAGUUCUCACACUUCUCACUGUUUGAGUACAUCAUUUUUAUACGAUCACUUAUAUGGUCUGUGUAAAAUUACACGGUCCGUGAAAAUGAUCGUAUUGAAUGAUGUCCUCAAACAGUGUCCUUGCUAAUUUCCUUACCUUCCACGACUGGGUUAUACGCUCCGUAUAAGUCAAGUUUCCUCCAGUUUUUCUACACUUGUCAUCCUGCCCCAAGACAAACGUUACCCUGCACACACACUAUUUAAGUUAACAAAAUUCAAAAAACAACAAAAAUUAAACAUGGGUUGCCUCCCAAGAAGCGCUUGAUCUAACGUCGCGGCAGGAUGGUGUCACAAAUUUACUCUUGGUCAGGAUUCUCUGGGUCAGCAUUCGUUCUGAGAUGUUUCAACCCGUACCGAUCAACAAUUCUAUCCCCAUCAAUGCAACCAUGAUAGUGUUUCACCCUCUGCCUAUUCACCUUAAAUGUCCUAGUUCCAUCUCCGGACUUCAAUUCAAUCGUCCCAUAGGGUGAAACACUUACCACCUCAAAAAAUCGACCCAUCUUGAUUUUAACUUUCCCGGUAGCAGCUUCAAUCUAGAAUUAAAUUGCAGGACAGGAUCACCCUUGUAGAAUUCUCGCUUCAGGAUCUUCUUGUCAUGAUACUGCUUCAUCCUUUCUUUAUACAAUGCUGCACUCUCAUAGGCCUGAUAGCGGAACUCAUCCAUCUCAUUAAGUUGAAACAACUGAAGCUUAGUGGCUUCUUCCCAAUCCAUGUUUAGCCUCUCCAACGCCGAUAUGGCUUUGUGCCCCAAUUCAACGGGCAGGUGGCAAGCUUUGCCAAAAGCUAGCUUGAAAGGAGAAGUCCCAAUUGGGGUCAUGUACACAGUUCGGUAAGCCCAUAGAGCAUCAUUGAGCUUUCGGGACCAGUCAGUUCUAUUCGCAUUGACCGUCUUGGCCAAAAUACUCUUGAUUUCCCGGUUUGAGACUUCAACUUUCCCACUUGUCUGAGGGUGAUAAGGAGCUUCCACCCUAUGUUUCACACCAUACUUCUCCAUCAAUCCCGCGAAGGCUUUAUUGCAAAAGUGAGAACUCCCAUCACUAAUUAUUGCCCUCCGGGUACCAAAUCGAGUAAAUAUGUUUUUCUUUCGGAACCCCAUGACACUCUUGACUUCAUUAUUAGGUAAAGCCACUGUUUCUACCCAUUUCGACACAUAGUCCACAACAACUAAGAUAUACUUCAUGCCACAAGAGCUCACAAAGGGCCCCAUAAAAUCAAUACCUAGACAUUGAACACCUCCACUUCCAUCACAAAGUUUAUAGGUAUCUCUUGCCUCCUUCCUAUACUCCUUUGUCUCUGGCACUGAUCACAAGACCGCACCAACAGAUUUGCAUCAUGAAAGAGAGUAGGGCAGUAGUAAUCGUAUUCAAGAACUUUAGCAUCAGUUCGGUUACCACUAUGAUGACCCCCAACCAGAGAGUCAUGGCAUGCUUUCAGAAUCGCCAUCACUUUACUCUCGGGAACACAACGCCAAAUGAUGUUAUCAGCACAUGUUCUAAAAAAGUAGGGCUCGUCCCAGUAAUAUUGAUGAGAAUCCCGCAAGAACUUCUUCUUUUGGUAUGACUUGAUCUCCUCUGGAAUUAUGCGUUUUACCAAGUAGUUGACAAUGUCUGCAUACCAUGGUGCCACCACCACUGACACCGCCAACACCCGCUUAUUUGAAAAUGCAUCAUCAUUAUCUAGCUCAUCUGAAGGUCUACCGACUUUUUCAAGUAGAGAGAGAUGGUUAGCAACCUGAUUCUCAGUUCCCUUGCGGUCUUUCACCUCGAAAUUGAAUUCUUGCAACAACAGCACCCAUCGAAUCAAUCGUGGCUUAGCUUCCUUCUUUGCAAUUAGGUACCUCAAUGCAGCAUGAUCUGUGUAUACCACAAUUUUGGACCCCAACAGAUAGGCUCGAAAUUUUUCAAAAGCAAAAACUAUAGCAGGCAGCUCUUGCUCAGUCACUGUGUAAUUCAUCUGAGUCGCAUUCAAUGUUCUGCUGGCAUAAUAUAUAGGGUGCAUGAUUUUACUAUGUAUCUGGCCAAGCACAGCACCGAUAGCAAAAUCGCUCGCAUCACACAUCGAUUCGAACAACAGAGACCAGUCAGGAGAAACAAUAAUAGAAGCUGUGGUCAAACGCUCCUUCAAUUCAUCGAAUGCCUUCCGACACUUCUCGUCAAAUUCGAACUUAGCCUCUUUUUCAAGAAGCUUACACAUCGGGUUAGCAAUUUUUGAGAAAUCCUUGAUGAAAUGCCUAUAGAAACUAACAUGUCCCAAGAAACUCCGGACACUCUUAAUUGAGAUAUGUGGAAGAAGCUUUGAGAUCACAUCAAUCUUCGCCUGAUCGACCUUAAUCCCCUUUUCAGAGAUUUUAUGCUUGAGGAAGAUCCCUUCCUUCACCAUGAAGUGGCACUUCUUCCAAUUUAGCACCAGAUUAGUCUCCUCACAACGUUUAAGCACUCGACCCAGAUGGUCAAGACAAUCAUCAAAAGAAUCACCAACCACCGAGAAAUCAUUCAUAAAGACCUCAACAAAGUCUUCCACCAUAUAAAAAAAUAUUGACAUCAUAUGCCGUUGAAAGGUAGCCGGUGCAUUGCAAAGACCGAAAGGCAUCCUGCUGAAAGCAAAUGUCCUAUAAGGAUAAGUAAAUGUCAUUUUCUUCUAAUCCUCAAGGGCGAUGUUGAUCUGAUUGUAGCCCGAAUACUUGUCUAGGAAGCAAUAGUAAGACCGCCCCGCUAGCUGAUCAAAUAUUUGAUUAAUAAAAGGCAUAGGGAAGUGAUCCUUGCACGUAGCAGUGUUAAGCUUGCGAUAGUCCAUGCAAACUCUCCAACCUAUCACAGUCCUCGUCAGAAUCAGCUCAUUCUUUGCAUUGGGCACUACUGUGAUGCUGCCCUUUUUCGGAACAAAUUGAACUGGGCUCACCCAUUUACUGUCAGUAAUAGGGUAAACCACUCCAGCGUCUAACCAUUUGAUGAUUCCUUUCUUGACGACUUCUUGCAUGUUCUCAUUCAGCCUCCUUUGAUGCUCCACACUCGGCUUGCUAUCCUCCUCUAGUUAGAUUUUAUGCUUACAGAUCCCAGAAGGAAUCCCCCGAAUGUCUGCUAUGGUCCAACAAAUAGCACGCCUAUACUCACGCAAUAUCUCCACAAGCCUCUCGAUCUUCUCCUCAGUAAGUAAUGCUGAAACAAUCACUAGUAUCGUAUUAUUUGGACCAAGGAACUCAUACUUCAAAUGUGAUGGGAGUUGCUUAAUCUCAAGCUUCGGUGGCUCAACGAUAGAAGGUUUUGCUGGAGGAGUUGUUCUAUUUUCUAGAUCAAGUUUAAGCUUCUUUGGGUGGUAAGAAUAUGAGCCCAACCAAACAAGCAAAUAAAGCAUCUCCACAUAACCCUUCGUGUUUUCAGCAUCAAAAUUGACAAGUACUUUCUUCUUCCAUCUUGAAUUCCACAGCUUCAUCAACAACAUCAAAAGAAUCAAUCAUCGAAAUGCUUUUGUAAGCACUUGGUAACUUUAUCCCCUUACUUGCCUGAAAAGUAACUUCCUCAUCAUUGACUCGAAAUUUUAUUUUGUUCUUUUCUGAAUCCAUAAGAGCUCUUCCCAUAGCAAGGAAAGGUCUCCCCAGGAUAAUAGGAAUAUCCUGAUCAACAACACAGUCAAGGAUCACAAAAUCAGCGGGCAACAUAAAUUUACCAACACGUACAAGAACAUCAUCAACCAUGCCAACCGACCGCUUAAUAGAUCUAUCAGCCAUCUGUAAUCUCAUAGUGGUCGGCCUUGGCAUCCCCAAACCUAAUUUCUUGUAGAUAGCAAGUGGCAUCAAAUUUAUACUCGCCCCGUUAUCACACAGAGCACGAGCAAAAUCAUGGUACCCAACAGAACAAGGAAUGAUGAACGCCCCAGGAUCUCCCUUUUUCUAGAUAGUAGUUAUUGAAAUAAUAGAACUCACAGUGUGAGUCAAACUCACGGUUUCAUGUUGCACCAUCUUCUUCUUGGUCAAUAGGUCUUUCAAGUACUUACCAAAACCAGGUAUCUCCUUGAUAGCAUCCAAAAAUGGAAAGUUCAGAGAUAACUGCUUCAGCUGAUCAUAAAAUUUCUCGAACUUAGCAUCUUCCUUCUUCUUCACCAACCUUUGCGGAAAGGGAGGUUUAGAUUUGAAAAGCUGAGUCAAAGGGCGGAGAGCCCCUUUUACAGUCUGCUUGCUCUUAUUAUCAGCCACCUUUGAACUUCUGGAAUAUCAGUAACUUUCUCUUUACUAGGAAGCUCAUCAUCAAUAAUUGGAAAUUACUUAUUCCUGAUGAGAAAAUUAUAUAUGAUCCAAUGCCUACCCCUGUUGAAGGACUUCCCAUUAGCCUUCAACCUCACAAUUCUUGAAUCUUAUUUUUCUUAUAGAUACAAAAGAAGCAUUGCCAGCCACAUAAGUAACAAACACCUUUUGUAUAUGAUGUUGUGUAAGAAUUGAUAGAAGUCUACUGGAAAUAAUGAUUAAAACAAGCCUUUUGCAUUUGUUUUAUUUAAAGGAGUUGAAAAAAAAAAAUAAGCUUAUGCCAAUCUAUCUCCAUGAUAAAAUCAAAAUACUAACAGGACUCGAAGUGAAAUCUCUUAAUCAUCCAAUUUGCUUGGAUUAACGCUUUCCUUCAGUUGUCAACAUCGUAACUUUGAAUUAGUAUUACGAGAUAAAUAGUACUCCCUCCAUUUCAAUUUAUGUGUCUUAAUUUGAAUCGACACAGAGUAUAAGAAAAUAAAAAAAAUUCUUGAAUCUUGUCUCAAACAUAUGAUUUGUGUGAUAUAUCAAAAUGUAUUUUGAAUUUGCGGUCUGAAAUAUUUCAUAUCAGAUUGGAGGUAAAAAAUUACUAAAUAUAGAAAGUGACAUUCUAUUCUUUUUGAAAUAUACUAAAAAGGAAAAUAAAAUAAACAAAUUGCAGCAGAAGGAGUAGUAAUAUAUUUUCUUUAUUUUUUAUUGUCUCGUUAACAUAUGUAAUACCAUGUUUUCUUUUCCAUUCUGCUUAACCUCUGUCACUUGAAUCAGCCAUCAU